GACGAACGCUGGCGGCGUGCUUAACACAUGCAAGUCGAACGGAAAGGCCCCUUUGGGGGUACUCGAGUGGCGAACGGGUGAGUAACACGUGAGUAACCUGCCCUUGACUUCGGGAUAACUUCAGGAAACUGGGGCUAAUACCAGAUAGGAAUCCUUGCUGCAUGGUGGGGGUUGGAAAGCUUCGGCGGUUUUGGAUGGACUCGCGGCUUAUCAGCUUGUUGGUGGGGUAGUGGCUUACCAAGGCUUUGACGGGUAGCCGGCCUGAGAGGGCGACCGGCCACAUUGGGACUGAGAUACGGCCCAGACUCCUACGGGAGGCAGCAGUGGGGAAUAUUGCACAAUGGGCGGAAGCCUGAUGCAGCAACGCCGCGUGCGGGAUGACGGCCUUCGGGUUGUAAACCGCUUUCAGCAGGGGCGAAGCUUGUGGUGACGGUACCUGUAGAAGAAGCACCGGCUAACUACGUG
rnacentral:rRNA from 1 species